GGCCUGUGUUAUGUAUCCAAAAUGAUCUUCCUCCUUGAGCAUACACAGCCUGCAUCUCACCAAAUCACAAGUAAAUAUGCAUUCUUCUUAUUUAAUGGAGGUCUAAUAGCUGAUGGAUUACAUUAUCCUGCAAGAGCUAAUCCUCUUAAUUGGUGAAGACUUGAACGACCUUUUCACUCUCUACAUCUUAAAAGCAUAGAAAGACCAAUCAAAUUACUCCUUAUUGACUUAGUGCAGUUUCUUUUGUGCACAACAACGCUUGCAAAGUCAAAUUGACUCUUCUAAUAGAAAGAGACUCAGAAUUUAACUCUUGAUUUUUUUAAUUAUAAAAUAGAAAGCUGGAUUACUAAACUAUUAUUAACCUAAUAACCACAGAUGGGUAAUAUGUUCAUAACCAGAAGGGAUUUACCUUAACAGCAUUGGAGAAUUGGGCAAGCAUAUCAGGGACAGAAGCUUUUACUUGUUCAAUGGUCAAAUUAAGCUUGUAACCAGCAGUGAGGUCGUUCUGACCAAUAUCAAAGGUGUACAAAGCACUUGAGAAGUAAUCUGCCUUGGGCAACAAUGUCUCAAAAACAACCCCUGUAAUAGUAGAUUAUUCCACAAACCCACAUGAACAUGAUCAAAUCUACAUUCAUCUUCUCCAAAGUUAUUGAAGAACAAUGCAAGAAAAUUGAAGAAGAGAGAUGAAAUUAAUGGACCUUGAUUACGGUACUCGUGGGAUCUUUUGUGGAAGCCUGAGAAUUGAACCAAUUGUACAUCUAAUGAAAUUGGACUAUACCCACUUUGAUGCAUGGUGGUGUUUUGAGGUCUGAUGGUUGAUCCAGCCGUGGCAAAAUUGGCUCCAUGGCUAAAGUUUGAACCUACUGAGUUCAAAUAGGCACUCAGAUAUGGCAAUCCCAAGCUCUCCGCUAAGAAAUCAAUGAUGAGACGGCCGUCGGAGUAGCGACCAGCAGGGUGGUGGAAGAAAGUCUGCCCAUUGGGAGCAGGGGCUUGUCCAAAUGCUGCGGAGAGCCCACCUGUGUCAGAAUUUGAAUCCCCAAAGUUGAAUAUGGCAGGAAACUCACAUGAAGAUUCUAAGACUGAUGCCAUUGAUACCAAGAAGACCAAGCCCAACACAACAUGUCUCAACCACCCAGACUCCAUUGAGAUCAGAAAGAGAAGAAAGAUCGAGAUUUUUUCUGAGGAGAGAGAAUGAGAAAUUGAAUUGGGAAUUGAUGAGCCCUGAGAUCUGGUUUGGGAAUGGCCUUUGCUUUAUCUGUCUUGGCCUGGGUUUCUGUUUCUUCUCUGUUUCUUUUGGCAACGGUCAAGUCCAAUUAAUUUAAGCUAUUUUUGGAUAUAUGUGGCUGGAGUUUGCUACUAUUUUGGUGCGUUCCAUAACUAUUUUACACAAUGCAGGUAGUCUUGAAAUUUCAUCAACUAAUUUUUACAAUGUGAUCGCAUUUGGCUAUAUCCAGAUUUG
rnacentral:misc_RNA from 1 species